rnacentral:rRNA from 1 species
UGCCAGCAGCCGCGGUAAGACGAAGGUGGCAACCGUUGCUCGGAUUUACUGGGCAUAAAGCGCAUGUAGGUGGCUUGGAAGGUUAUUGGUGAAAGCCCACGGCCCAACCGUGGAACUGCCGAUAAAACCGCCUUGCUUGAGGACAGGAGGGGAGAGUGGAACUCUUGGUGUAGCGGUGAAAUGCGUAGAUAUCAAGAGGAACGCCGGUGGCGAAAGCGACUCUCUGGACUGUUCCUGACACUGAGAUGCGAAAGCUAGGGGAGCAAACAGGAUUAGAUA